rnacentral:rRNA from 1 species
UACGGAGGGUGCAAGCGUCAUCCGGAAUCAUUGGGUUUAAAGGGUCCGCAGGCGGACUUAUAAGUCAGUGGUGAAAUCCUACAGCUUAACUGUAGAACUGCCAUUGAUACUGUAAGUCUUGAAUUCGGUCGAAGUGGGCGGAAUAUGACAUGUAGCGGUGAAAUGCUUAGAUAUCGUCAAGAACACCGAUAGUGAAGACAGCUAACUAAGCUUUAACUGACGCUGAGGCACGAAAGCGUGGGGAGCAAAAGGG